ensembl:lncRNA
AAAAAAGGGCUGGUUUGAGGAAUUGUAACAUUUAUUGGAUGUAAAAAGUGGCAGGACAUUAUCAAAGGCACCCCAACACCAGGAGCAGGAGCAGGGCAAUCCUGGAGACCUCACACGGGGGUGCAGCAUCCAGGGGACAGGAGAGGACACACUGGGAAGGACCAGGCAGCAGAGCCAGGGCUGGGGGUAAACAGGAGCCGUGGCAGACACUCAGAACUGGAGCUGCCCAGGGCUGUUACUUCUGCUGGCAGGGCCAGUAGGAGCUCUGCUUGCACUGGUGGGACACCACGCUGGGGAUGACAAUGGGACAUUUCUGCUGGGAGGAGCCUCCGCUGCCCCCUCCAGAGCUGAUGAUGAUGGUCUGGCCUGAGGAGCCGCUGCUGCAUCCUCCUCCCAUCCCAUAGCUGGAUCCUCCACUGCAGCAUCCAGAGGAACCUCCACUGCCUCCACCUCCAAUGAUGCUCUUUGAUCCUGAAGAUCCACCGUACCCUCCUCCCAUGCCAUAUCCUGAAGAUCCUCCACUGCAGCAUCCAGAGGAACCUCCACUGCUUCCCCCUCCAAUGAUGACCUUUGUCCCUGAAGAGCCACCACCGUAUGCUCCGCCCAUCCCAUAGCUGGAUCCUCCACCACAGUAUCCAGAGGAACCUCCACCUCCAAUGAUGCUCUUUGAUCCUGAAGACCCACCAUAUCCUCCGCCCAUCCCGUAGCUGGAUCCUCCACCACAGUAUCCAGAGGAACCUCCACUACCUCCACCUACAAUGAUGCUCUUUGAUCCUGAAGAUCCACCACCNGAUCCACCACCGCAGCAUCCGGAGGAUCCACCACCGCCUCCACCUCCAAUGAUGAUCUUGGUUCCUGAAGAUCCGCCACUGGACCCUCCUCCCAUGCCGCCUCCGCCGCAGCAUCCAGAGGAUCCUCCACUACCUCCACCUCCCAUCAUGCUCUUUGAAGAUCCACCGCUGGAUCCUCCACCGCAGCAUCCAGAGGAUCCACCACCGCCUCCUCCUCCACCCCCAGAGCUGAUAAUGAUCUUCUGGGCUGAUCCGCCGGAGGAUCCUCCACCGCAGCAGGAUCCGCCUCCUCCCCCGCCGGAGGAGCCCUGGGACUGGUAGCUCCCCCGGCAGCAGCAGCAGCAGCCACAGCCGUGGCACCCGCUUUGUCUGGAGCACAUCUUGGAGCAGUGACCCUGCAAGGAAAAGCUUUUUACUCCAGGGCAGCCACCAGUUCUCAUGAGAAUUUCCCAAGGCCCAUGAGGCCAGUCCAGCCCAACAGCACUUUGUAGUGUCCAGGGUGAUCUUUUAAAGACUUUUAUCCCAAAGUGGUCCCAUCUCCUUAUCCCAAAGCCAUUCCAUCUCCAUCUCAAUACUGAUGAGAGACAACCUUCAGCAGCCGGGCUGAUCCUGCUUCUGUUUGGUCUGGUGGGACCAAGGCAUCCACAAGAGAUUUAAAUUCAUCCCAGCAACUUUUCUGCCCUUCCACCGCCACCCACCAGAUGUUUUUUACCAAAACUUUUGUGUUUCGGAAGCAGGAAAGGAAGAGAAGAAUCCCUCCCUUGGGCAGGCCUGGACUUACCCUUCUCGGCUCUGACCACGGACACCUCAGGGCAAAGCUGAAUGAAGCACCCCGAGAUCCACCAACUUUUAUACCGUUUUUCCUGAGUGGGAAGUGAGGCAUCCAAAGGAAUGGUGAUAGGUUUAUUUACCAAACAGGCUCUCCUCCUCCUUCC